GGAUUUUUAAAGGCUCAUAUUUAAACAUCUAUCUCCUGGGCUACCAAAUACAACUUACAUCUUUAGGGGACUUUUUAAUUUACAAAAUGACUUUCAGACUUUGUCUCUUCUCUACCCUCCAUCCUCACCUCCAUCUCCACCUUUACUGGUUAUUGAACCCAAGGCUUUGCAUAUGCUAGGCAAGCACUCUAUCACUGAGCUACAUACCCAGCCCAAACUCAUCGUAUUUAAACCACAUGAUAUGCUUAUUAGGCUGAUCUGGUAUUUUUAUCCCCAUUUUGAAAAGAAACUGCUUAGGGAAAUAGUGGUUCAGAGAAAUGAAACUCCCUGUCCCAGGACUGAAACUCACACCUAAGUGCAUACUCAGUCUUCCCCUCACCCCACCCUGUACCCUGCGGUCCCUGCAGAGGGAGGUCAUGGCCCAACACGCAGGGCACUGCACUGUAGUUCUGUUGAUGCAGCUGGCUCUGCAGCUGUACAUUCCAGAGACUCAGAAGGCACCUCUCAGUCAAACAUGCCUCUCCCUCUGUAAACCCUUACUCCUUCCACCCACUCACUCACCAGGUAAGGGUACCGCUUUGUGGUGUUGUUUCAAUAGGCUUCUUUUAGCAGCUCAUAUUUUUCUUAAGUAAUUGGUGGGGUUCAUAUCAGUGACUUACUCUGCGCUUAAGGUGCCCUUGCCAGAGGGAACAUUUGGGGGCAGGUGAUGAGAUAUUACUGUUCUGCUUGGAACAAGAUAGAGGCCAGGAACCCACUGCUACCACACAGACCUAGAGCUCCUGAGAACACCGUGUAAGAACUAUCACUUGUAACCACUUUGUAGAUGAGUAAAUUGAGAUGCUAAGAGUUCAUACAGUUCAUGUCUAGGUCAAGGCUAGCUAGACCCGAUCCUAAGUCUCCUAGUCUGCUGCAUUUCAUCUGGUUGGUAAGAUACAGAUGGCGAGUACAUAUAGACAUUGCUCACCCAUGCCUUCCCGGUAUGUUGAGGAUUUAUGGUUUAUGUCUUCAGGAAUGGUGUCAAGUCAGAUCCAGCCUGAGAGGCAGUCAUCACCCAUCAGAAAGGUGGUAGAGUGACGGAGAAGACUGGUGCUCCCCUGAUAGCUGUUUGGGUAUAAGGAAGCUUUAGAGAGGACAGUUUUGAGAAAAGCUGAAGAAGAAGGUAUUUCUUUGUGUGUCUCCCUCCCUAGGCCAGUGGACUCUCAUACACUUGGGAGUUACUUUCAUAGGUUAGUAGCUCUAAUUGUGAAAGGAAGACUUUUUUUGUUUUCAAAUUAAUUGUAUGAAAUUCCCUCCCACACCUUGAUUUUAGUGAGGAAAACAGGAGAUGCCUGGGUCGCCAAGACCAAGGGUCUCAGGCACACAAUCCACUGACACAUCAUCUCUUCGCUACUGCUUUUGCC
rnacentral:lncRNA from 1 species